CUGUAAGGCAAAAAUUGUCUUAAGAGAUUUAAUAUGCCUAUUUGAUCUCAGAAGCUAAGCAGGGUUGGGCCUGGUUAGUACUUGGAUGGGAGACCACCUAGGAAGACCAGGUGCUGUAGGCA
rnacentral:rRNA from 1 species